AUUGAACGCUGGCGGCAUGCCUUACACAUGCAAGUCGAACGGCAGCACGGGAGCAAUCCUGGUGGCGAGUGGCGAACGGGUGAGUAAUAUAUCGGAACGUGCCCAGUAGUGGGGGAUAACUGCUCGAAAGAGCAGCUAAUACCGCAUACGACCUGAGGGUGAAAGGGGGGGAUCGCAAGACCUCUCGCUAUUGGAGCGGCCGAUAUCAGAUUAGCUAGUUGGUGGGGUAAAGGCCUACCAAGGCAACGAUCUGUAGUUGGUCUGAGAGGACGACCAGCCACAAUGGGACUGAGACACGGCCCAGACUCCUACGGGAGGCAGCAGUGGGGAAUUUUGGACAAUGGGCGCAAGCCUGAUCCGGCAAUGCCGCGUGCAGGAAGAAGGCCUUCGGGUUGUAAACUGCUUUUGUCAGGGAAGAAAUCCUCUAGGUUAAUACCCUUGGGGGGAUGACGGUACCUGAAGAAUAAGCACCGGCUAACUACGUGCCAGCAGCCGCCGUAACAC
rnacentral:rRNA from 1 species